AUUGAACGCUGGCGGCAGGCUUAACACAUGCAAGUCGAACGAGUGGCGGACGGGUGAGUAAUGCUUGGGAAUCUAGCUUAUGGAGGGGGAUAACUACGGGAAACUGUCGCUAAUACCGCGUACUAUAGGAUGAGCCCAAGUGGGAUUAGGUAGUUGGUGAGGUAAAGGCUCACCAAGCCGACGAUCGCUAGCUGGUCUGAGGGGAUGACCAGCCACACGGCGACUGAGACACGGCCCAACCUCCUAGGGGAGGCAGCAGUGGGGAAUAUUGCGCAAUGGGGGCAACGGGACGCAGCCAUGCCGCGGGAAUGAAGAAGGCCUUCGGGUUGUAGAGUUCUUUCGGUAGCGAGGCGUUAACUACAGAAGAAGCACCGGCUAACUCCGUGCCAGCAGCCGCGGUAAUUC
rnacentral:rRNA from 1 species